AGGUGCAGAUUAAUCUUCAGAAGAGGUGCAGUAAUUUCUCAAAGAUCUUCAGAUAAUAUGGCUAGGGGACCUAGAAGUAGCAGCAUAUCUCGUCGGUUUGGAACUCCUACCACAAAUCAACCUACCUGGACUCCUUUGGUUGAUACACGAAGGUCUCCAUCUACUAAUGGUUCAGACAGUCAUGGAAGAAGUUCGAAUUCAAGUGGAGGGUCCGGGUCUCAUCCAUCGUCUCAGGGUGAACAUUCUCCUAGUGGAGGUUCAGAGCCGUGGCAUGAGGCUCUAUGUCAGACAAAUAGUGAUAGUGAACCUGAAAUUAGUGAAGAAAGCAUG